rnacentral:rRNA from 1 species
GAACGCUAGCUACAGGCUUAACACAUGCAAGUCGAGGGCAGCAUGGUCUUAGCUUGCUAAGGCCGAUGGCGACCGGCGCACGGGUGAGUAACACGUAUCCAACCUGCCGUCUACUCUUGGACAGCCUUCUGAAAGGAAGAUUAAUACAAGAUGGCAUCAUGAGUCCGCAUGUUCACAUGAUUAAAGGUAUUCCGGUAGACGAUGGGGAUGCGUUCCAUUAGAUAGUAGGCGGGGUAACGGCCCACCUAGUCUUCGAUGGAUAGGGGGUUCUGAGAGGAAGGUCCCCCCACAUUGGAACUGAGACACGGUCCAAACUCCUACGGGAGGCAGCAGUGAGGAAUAUUGGUCAAUGGGCGAGAGCCUGAACCAGCCAAGUAGCGUGAAGGAUGACUGCCCUAUGGGUUGUAAACUUCUUUUAUAAAGGAAUAAAGUCGGGUAUGGAUACCCGUUUGCAUGUACUUUAUGAAUAAGGAUCGGCUAACUCCGUG